AACACGGAGAUAGCUGGUUCUCUUCGAAAUAGCUUUAGGGCUAGCCUCAAAGGAUGAUGGUUGGAGGUAGAGCACUGAUUGGACUAGGGGCCCUCAUCGGGUUACCGAAUUCAGUCAAACUCCGAAUGCCAAUCAAUCUACUUUGGGAGUCAGACCAUGGGUGAUAAGGUUCAUGGUCGAAAGGGAAACAGCCCAGACCGCCAGCUAAGGUCCCAAAGUGUGUGUUAAGUGGAAAAGGAUGUGGCGUUGCUUAGACAACCAGGAUGUUGGCUUAGAAGCAGCCAUCAUUGAAAGAGUGCGUAAUAGCUCACUGGUCGAGUGACGCUGCGCCGAAAAUAUACCGGGGCUAAACACACCACCGAAGCUGCGGAUUGACAUCUACGAUGUCAGUGGUAGGAGAGCGUUCUAAGGGCAGUGAAGGUCGAUCGUGAGGACGGCUGGAGCGCUUAGAAGUGAGAAUGCCGGUAUGAGUAGCGAAAAAAGAGUGAGAAUCUCUUUCAUCGAAAGCCCAAGGUUUCCUGAGGAAGGCUCGUCCGCUCAGGGUUAGUCGGGGCCUAAGCCGAGGCCGAAAGGCGUAGGCGAUGGACAACAGGUUGAUAUUCCUGUACCACCUAAAUCCGCUUGAACGAUGGGGGGACGCAGGAGGAUAAGGAAAGCGCGCUGCUGGUUAUGCGCGUCCAAGCCGUGAGGAAGUUGAGCAGGCAAAUCCACUCAACACUAAUUCCAGGCGGUUAUGGGGAGGGAAAUUUAGUACCGAAGUUCCUGAUUUCACACUGCCAAGAAAAGCCUCUAGUGAGGAAAUAGGUGCCCGUACCGCAAACCGACACAGGUAGGCACGGUGAGUAACCGAAGAUGAUCGGGAGAACUCUCGUUAAGGAACUCGGCAAAAUGACCCCGUAACUUCGGGAGAAGGGGUGCUUCUUUUAAGGAGAAGCCGCAGUGA
rnacentral:rRNA from 1 species